CUUUCGCGUCAAUCGAGACAAGAUCGCGAAGACCGCGAGGCCUCCCUUGAUGCCCGCUCCGAUUGAGAACCCUUUCGCCGAAGCAACGAGGACUCUCCGAAGCUUCUCAAACUCCUUCGGCGGAAUUGCGUCGACGAUGAUCCUCGAUGACGACGUCGUCGAGGGAAGAGAUCCAUUGGAGUGUUUGCAGUCGGUGGAUGCAUGGUCGUCUUCAUUGUGAAAACCGUUUAUUUUCACCGGUCGGAGGCCGCCGGUUUCGACGACUGACGGAGACAUGGUGGCUGUGGAGGAAGCAAGGACGGAGAAGAAAGGUGGAAAAUGGAGCAGAUGAGCAGAGUACUAGAUUUUGUAUUUCUAUUUUUCGAAACUGAGCUGCCAAAGGAGACAAAAAUACAAAAACAAAACACGACUCAGACUGUUGUGGAGGGCAGCUUAAUA
rnacentral:lncRNA from 1 species